GCGAAAGUGGCGGAAUUGGUAGACGCGCUAGGUUCAGGGUCUAGUUGGAGCAUUCCAGUGGGAGUUCGAGUCUCCCCUUCGGCACCA
rnacentral:tRNA from 1 species